rnacentral:rRNA from 1 species
CAGACGGCUCAGUAACACGUGGUCAAGCUAACCUAUGGACGUGGAUAACCUCGGGAAACUGAGAAUAAACCGCGAUAGAUCAUGGUGCCUGGAAUGGCCCAUGGUCGAAAUAGUUUACUGCCGUAGGAUGCGACUGCGGCCUAUCAGUUUGUUGGUGAGGUAAUGGCCCACCAAGACUAUUACAGGUACGGGCUCUGAGAGGAGAAGCCCGGAGAUGGGUACUGAGACACGGACCCAGGCCCUAUGGGGCGCAGCAGGCGAGAAACCUUAGCAAUGUGCGAAAGCACGACUGGGUCAGUCCGAGUGAUUUCUGAUAAAGGAAUCUUUUGCCCGUCCUAAAAGCGCAGGCAAAUAAGGGGUGGACUAAUCUGUGGGCAACUCUGGCGGCAGUAGCCGCAGAAAUACUAGGCCCUCGAGUGGUCGGGACGAUAAGGGGGGCUAAAGGAUCCGGAGAUGGUCUUGCAAGUCGCCGGGUAAAUCCACCAGGUAGACGGAUGAUCCGCUGGAGAGCGACGAGAGUGGCGAAUAGGAGAGCCAGACGGUAUACNAGGGGAAGG